rnacentral:rRNA from 1 species
AGGGCACCACCAGGAGUGGAGCCUGCGGCUUAAUUUGACUCAACACGGGAAACCUCACCCGGCCCGGACACGGACAGGAUUGACAGAUCGAUAGCUCUUUCUCGAUUCCGUGGGUGGUGGUGCAUGGCCGUUCUUAGUUGGUGGAGCGAUUUGUCUGGUUAAUUCCGAUAACGAACGAGACUCUGGCAUGCUAACUAGUUACGCGACCCCCCGAGCGGUCGGCGUCCCCCAACUUCUUAGAGGGACAAGUGGCGUUCAGCCACCCGAGAUUGAGCAAUAACAGGUCUGUGAUGCCCUUAGAUGUCCGGGGCUGCACGCGCGCUACACUGACUGGCUCAGCGUGUGCCUACCCUACGCCGGCAGGCGCGGGUAACCCGUUGAACCCCAUUCGUGAUGGGGAUCGGGGAUUGCAAUUAUUCCCCAUGAGCGAGGAAUUCCCAGUAAGUGCGGGUCAUAAGCUUGCGUUGAUUAAGCCCCUGCCCUUUGUGCACACCGCUCGUCGCUACUACCGAUUGGAUG